AUUCGAAUGGGAUAGGAUUCAUCGUCAUCCGGUCGUGCCAGGCUUGCUUUUGCUCUGCCAGAUGUUGCUGUUCGCCCGCUGCGAUUCGCGUCGUGCGCGGUGUCGUAAUGGUAAUCACUCGGUGGGGUGCUUGCUCUGCCGACUGGGGUCGUGCACUUCCUCCCUAGUAGAAACGUCGCGACCCGUUGGGUGUCGGUCUAAGGCCUGGGAAGGCAGACCGUGCGUCCUGCGUUUUGUGCGCAGGCGCACGGACUCCCGGUGUCCCGGCCGGCUGCUCGACGGUAUGAUCAGAGGAGUCGAUCCGCUGCAUGGGAAGCAUUGUGAUUGUGAAGCGUCCGGCCUGGCGCCGACACGUGCGGGAUGGUGGCCUUGGCUGUGGGUACCCGUGCUCUGCACGGUCCCGGCCCCGCUGCGUUGUCGGAUUGCUGGUGUCCUCGGACUGGAUCGCCACUCCCGUCAGCGACGCCCAAUCUUCGGAUGGUCUCCCGC
rnacentral:rRNA from 1 species